AGUGAACGCUGGCGGUAGGCCUAACACAUGCAAGUCGAACGGCAGCACAGUAAGAGCUUGCUCUUACGGGUGGCGAGUGGCGGACGGGUGAGGAAUACAUCGGAAUCUACUUUUUCGUGGGGGAUAACGUAGGGAAACUUACGCUAAUACCGCAUACGACCUACGGGUGAAAGAAGGGGAUCUUCGGACCUUGCGCGAUUGAAUGAGCCGAUGUCGGAUUAGCUAGUUGGCGGGGUAAAGGCCCACCAAGGCGACGAUCCGUAGCUGGUCUGAGAGGAUGAUCAGCCACACUGGAAGUGAGACACGGUCCAGACUCCUACGGGAGGCAGCAGUGGGGAAUAGUGGACAAUGGGCGCAAGCCUGAUCCAGCCAUACCGCGUGGGUGAAGACGGCCUUCGGGUUGUAAAGCCCUUUUGUUGGGAAAGAAAAGCAGCAGGUUAAUACCCCGCUGUUCUGACGGUACCCAAAGAAUAAGCACCGGCUAACUUCGUG
rnacentral:rRNA from 1 species